ACUGAACGCUGGCGGCAUGCCUUACACAUGCAAGUCGAACGGCAGCACGGGAGCAAUCCUGGUGGCGAGUGGCGAACGGGUGAGUAAUACAUCGGAACGUGCCCAAUCGUGGGGGAUAACGCAGCGAAAGCUGUGCUAAUACCGCAUAAGAUCUACGGAUGAAAGCAGGGGACCGCAAGGCCUUGCGCGAAUGGAGCGGC
rnacentral:rRNA from 1 species